GACGAACGCUGGCGGCGUGCUUAACACAUGCAAGUCGAACGAGACGAUUGAAAGCUUGCUUUUAAAAGUCGAGUGGCAAACGGGUGAGUAACGCGUAGACAACCUGCCUUUGAGAUGGGGACAACAGUUCGAAAGGACUGCUAAUACCGAAUGUUGUAUAUUUUCAACAUGGAAGAUAUAUUAAAGAUUGCCUCUAUUUAUAAGCUCUCGCUCAAAGAUGGGUCUGCGUCUGAUUAGCUGGUUGGUGGGGUAACGGCCUACCAAGGCGACGAUCAGUAGCCGGUCUGAGAGGAUGAACGGACACAUUGGGACUGAGACACGGCCCAGACUCCUACGGGAGGAAGCAGUGGGGAAUCUUCCACAAUGGACGAAAGUCUGAUGGAGCAACGCCGCGUGAGUGAAGAAGGGUUUCGGCUCGUAAAGCUCUGUUGUCGGGGACGAAUGUGCAGUAUUAGAAUAAAGUACUGCAAUGACGGUACCUGACGAGGAAGCCACGGCUAACUACGUGCCAGCCGCCGCCGUAA
rnacentral:rRNA from 1 species